GAUGAACGCUGGCGGCGUGCCUAAUACAUGCAAGUCGAGCGAAUGGAUUGAGAGCUUGCUCUUAUGAAGUUAGCGGCGGACGGGUGAGUAACACGUGGGUAACCUGCCCAUAAGACUGGGAUAACUCCGGGAAACCGGGGCUAAUACCGGAUAACAUUUUGAACCGCAUGGUUCGAAAUUGAAAGGCGGCUUCGGCUGUCACUUAUGGAUGGACCCGCGUCGCAUUAGCUAGUUGGUGAGGUAACGGCUCACCAAGGCAACGAUGCGUAGCCGACCUGAGAGGGUGAGCGGCCACACUGGGACGUAGACACGGCCCAGAAUCCUACGGUAGGCAGCAGUAGGGAAUCGUCCGCAAUGGACGAAAGUCUGACGGAGCAACGCCGCGUGAGUGAUGAAGGCUUUCGGGUCGUAAAACUCUGUUGUUAGGGAAGAACAAGUGCUAGUUGAAUAAGCUGGCACCUUGACGGUACCUAACCAGAAAGCCACGGCUAACUACGUGCCAGCCGCCGCCGUAA
rnacentral:rRNA from 1 species